UACGAAGGGGACUAGCGUUGUUCGGAAUCACUGGGCGUAAAGCGCACGUAGGCGGAUGUGUCAGUCAGGGGUGAAAUCCCGGGGCUCAACCUCGGAACUGCCUUUGAUACAGCACGUCUCGAGUCCGGAAGAGGUGGGUGGAACUCCGAGUGUAGAGGUGAAAUUCGUAGAUAUUCGGAAGAACACCAGUGGCGAAGGCGGCUCACUGGCCCGGUACUGACGCUGAGGUGCGAAAGCGUGGGGAGCAAACAGG
rnacentral:rRNA from 1 species